UACGGGGGGGGGCAAGCGUUGUUCGGAAUUACUGGGCGUAAAGCGUGCGCAGGCGGUUAUGCAAGACAGAUGUGAAAUCCCCGGGCUCAACCUGGGAACUGCAUUUGUGACUGCAUGGCUGGAGUGCGGCAGAGGGGGAUGGAAUUCCGCGUGUAGCAGUGAAAUGCGUAGAUAUGCGGAGGAACACCGAUGGCGAAGGCAAUCCCCCUGGGCCUGCACUGACGCUCAUGCACGAAAGCGUGGGGAGCAAACAGG
rnacentral:rRNA from 1 species